UUUCUUUUAUGGAGAGUUUGAUCCUGGCUCAGGACGAACGCUGGCGGCGUGCCUAAUACAUGCAAGUCGAGCGAACUGAUGAGAAGCUU
rnacentral:rRNA from 1 species